rnacentral:misc_RNA from 1 species
GAUGAAGAACGCAGCGAAAUGCGAUAAGUAAUGUGAAUUGCAGAAUUCAGUGAAUCAUCGAAUCUUUGAACGCACAUUGCGCCCGCCAGUAUUCUGGCGGGCAUGCCUGUCUGAGCGUCAUUUCAACCCUCAUGCCCCUAGGGCGUGGUGUUGGGGAUCGGCCAAAGCCCGCGAGGGACGGCCGGCCCCUAAAUCUAGUGGCGGACCCGUCGUGGCCUCCUCUGCGAAGUAGUGAUAUUCCGCAUCGGACAGCGAUGAGCCCCUGCCGUUAAACCCCCAACUUUCCAAGGUUGACCUCAGAUCAGGUAGGAAUACCCGCUGAACUUAAGCAUAUCAAUAAGCGGAGGA